AAGUCGUAACAAGGUUUCCGUAGGUGAACCUGCGGAAGGAUCAUUACUGAGAGUACCAGGCUCUGCCUGGCUACUUUUACCCAUGUUUUUAGAGUACCAAAAGUUUCCUCAGCGGCUCUGCCCGCCGGUCGGACUCCAUUCAAACCCUUUGCAGUUGCAGUCAGCGUCUGAUAAACAAAAUAAUUACAA
rnacentral:misc_RNA from 1 species